GGGGAUGUGGCGGAAUAGGCAGACGCAACGGACUUAAAAUCCGUUGUCGGAAACGACGUGAGGGUUCAAGUCCCUCCAUCCCCACCA
rnacentral:tRNA from 1 species